GACGAACGCUAGCGGCAGGCCUAAUACAUGCAAGUCGAACGGUAAGGUCUCUUCGGAGAUACACGAGUGGCGCACGGGUGCGUAACGCGUAUGCAACCUACCCAUUAGAGGGGGAUAGUCGCGGGAAACUGCGAAUAAUACCCCAUGAGUUCCUAAAGUCGCAUGGCUUAAGGAAGAAACUCCGGUGCUGAUGGAUGGGCAUGCGUGACAUUAGCUAGUUGGUGAGGUAACGGCUCACCAAGGCGACGAUGUCUAGCUGGUCUGAGAGGAUGAUCAGCCACACGGGCACUGAGACACGGGCCCGACUCCUACGGGAGGCAGCAGUAAGGAAUAUUGGUCAAUGGGGGCAACCCUGAACCAGCCAUGCCGCGUGGAGGAAGACGGUUCUCUGAAUUGUAAACUUUCUUUUUUAUGAGAGAAUAAUAUAGAGCUAUACGCUCUUAUGUAGGUACCUCAUGAAUAAGCACCGGCUAAC
rnacentral:rRNA from 1 species